GAGCUCGCCUCCUGGGGAGGGGGCGGAGCCCCCCCAACUAGGUCCCGCCCCGUUCCCAGAGGCUGGUCAACGCCUCCACCUACCGGCCGAAACAGCCGCUCGCCGCCCUCCGGCUUCACCCCGGGCAGCCGCGCGCUUCCGGGGCAGGCACCUGGAUCUGGGCCAGGGCUGGCCUACAAGGAGGCGCAGGCCCACUGCUGAAGCAGCCACGACCAGCUCAGCGCCAGGGCAGGCUCUUCUACAGCGCGGGACACUGUAGGCAAGAGGCUGCCGGUGUUCGUGACCGCGAGCUCUCGGCCGGGCCCAGCUACUGCAGUAUCGGCGCUGGAAAGGCGAUCAAAGCACGGAACCCCUCCCGAGGGGGCCGUCAGGGAGGCCAGGGGCUGCCUGGGAACACAAAUAAAAAACCGGCCUCCUAUUUUGUGUACACAGUCCCUGUACAGGGUUUCUAAUCUGAGGGAAGUAAAACAUGCCACUUUCUAAUGGACAAAAACCUCAAGUUAUCUUGGAACCUCAAGAGGAGAGGAUUUCACCCAACUCACAGCUAUGCUUUCCUCAAGCCCUGUAAACUGAAGACUAAACUUGGGAAGAAAACAGCAGCAACCUACUUCUAUGUGUGGCUGUUGCAUCCUAUUACGUUUCAGCAGGUGCUGCCUCGAAGCCCCCAGAACAGAAAGUGCUACCGGGAACAAAUCCACCUCUUCCACUCCAGCGCUGUGUUUGGUGCCCCAUGACGACAACCCUCUCUCAGCAGGAAGCAGCCAGAAAGAUUACAAUGCUUCAUCUCCCUACGAUUCUCGUGAUUAAUAAAUACAUAUACAUGCAUGAUAAAAAGCAUGAGCAAAUUGACAGUGGGGAUUGUGGCAGGCCAGGUCUCACUAACGCAGGCCUCUGUAACAAGUGUUUUAGUACUGUCUGAGUAGUUAAAUAUUAAAAGCCAAGGCCCUUAUACAAAGGCUGGGAUAUAAGAAAAGCCCACCAAAAGUUUAGCUUAGGCCUUUCCUGGGCCUUAAAACAUAAAAUAACGAAGAAUACGUCAGGACCCAUUUAGGAUUAAGCCAGUUUUAUUGGGAAGAAAACUCCCCAAACUGCUGUGAUUUAGCAGAAGGCAAAGCAAGGGUAAUUACCCCAGCACUCACAGCCAUUUAAAUUAAGUCAAUUUACUGAGGCUCCAGAGGAAGGUCUUCAAGACUCAAUCCUUAGUUAAUAGAUUAAAAGUCAGUAACUUAUGUCUUUACAUAAAUGUACACAUAUGUAUAGACAUAUAGCUUAAAAAAUAUAUAAGCUCUGAAAAACUUUGUAAUUUUAAGUUGGUCUGGCAAUAAUUUCCAGGCCUUUUCCCUGCAACUGGUUGCAGAAAUAAAAACUCCACCUACUCAGUUAAUGUGCAUCUUGUUAUUGGGCCAUGAGAAAUAGCAGCCCAAACCUCAGUUUGGUCCAGGAACUGCACCCCAGCCUGGGCAACAAGUGUGAAACUCUGUCUCAAACAAACAAAAAGAAGUGCAGCCCAGUUGGAAAUCAGUUUGAAAGCCCCUCGCGGCGGCGGGUCUCUGAGAGGUCAGGGUUAUGUGGCA
rnacentral:lncRNA from 1 species